AGUCGAACGGAGCUUAGAGAGCUUGCUUUUUAAGCUUAGUGGCGAACGGGUGAGUAACGCGUGAGUAACCUGCCCUAGAGUGGGGGACAACAGUUGGAAACGACUGCUAAUACCGCAUAAGCCCACGGUACCGCAUGGUACUGAGGGAAAAGGAUUUAUUCGCCUUAGGAUGGACUCGCGUCCAAUUAGCUAGUUGGUGAGGUAACGGCCCACCAAGGCGACGAUUGGUAGCCGGACUGAGAGGUUGAACGGCCACAUUGGGACUGAGACACGGCCCAGACUCCUACGGGAGGCAGCAGUGGGGGAUAUUGCACAAUGGGGGGAACCCUGAUGCAGCGACGCCGCGUGGAGGAAGAAGGUUUUCGGAUUGUAAACUCCUGUCGUUAGGGACGAUAAUGACGGUACCUAACAAGAAAGCACCGGCUAACUACGUGCCAGCAGCCGCGGUAAAACGUAGGGUGCAAGCGUUGUCCGGAAUUACUGGGUGUAAAGGGAGCGCAGGCGGGAAGACAAGUUGGAAGUGAAAACCAUGGGCUCAACCCAUGAAUUGCUUUCAAAACUGUUUUUCUUGAGUAGUGCAGAGGUAGAUGGAAUUCCCGGUGUAGCGGUGGAAUGCGUAGAUAUCGGGAGGAACACCAGUGGCGAAGGCGGUCUACUGGGCACCAACUGACGCUGGGGCUCGAAAGCAUGGGUAGCAAACAGGAUUAGAUACCCUGGUAGUCCAUGCCGUAAACGAUGAUUACUAGGUGUUGGGGG
rnacentral:rRNA from 1 species